rnacentral:lncRNA from 1 species
AGGCUUCUCCGGUGAUGCUGGUCCUUCAAUCUUCCUGAGAUAAACCCAAGAAGAAUGCUUCCAACUUGCAAGAGGGGCUUGGUGAUCACAAGCUCCUCAAGCUGCAUGCAUUGUCUGAGGAGCCUAAACAAACACCCCAGAGAACAGAGGAGAGUUUGCAGAUAUGGGCAUUAUGAUCAUCAUUUCCCAGGGCCCUGCUGCAUAUCCCUCUUCUACCUGAGGGGAGGAAGCACUAUUAAUCCUUCUUUUGCUCAUUACUGAACUGGAUUCUUCUCAGUGCAUUUCCCGCCUAUCUCAGGGGUAGGGGAGGAUCUGCUUAGGCAGACCACCCAGGUUUCCACAGAAAAGUUGUCAGUCUGAACACAGGUGGCUGGUCCCCUGCUCAGGUUUCUGUUAAGAUCAUUAGCUUUGUCCUGAUGGGCACUUAAGAGCAUUAACUCCUUCACUGCCAAGACUUACAGGCAUUAGACAGUUUUCUGGGUGUCCCAGGAGAAUUACUCUUAUUCUUGGAGAAUCCUGGGGACUACUAGCUCUAGUUUUGAUGAGAGAACAACACCCAGAAUAAGCACAGGGUAGGAUCCAAGUCAGGGCCAAGAAAUUCCAUCAGUUACCUGUUGGAUAACUGAGAAGUGCUGUGAAUAAUGG